GACGAACGCUGGCGGCGUGCCUAAUACAUGCAAGUUGAGCGCUGAAGGUUGGUACUUGUACCAACUGGAUGAGCAGCGAACGGGUGAGUAACGCGUGGGGAAUCUGCCUUUGAGCGGGGGACAACAUUUGGAAACGAAUGCUAAUACCGCAUAAAAACUUUAAACACAAGUUUUAAGUUUGAAAGAUGCAAUUGCAUCACUCAAAGAUGAUCCCGCGUUGUAUUAGCUAGUUGGUGAGGUAAAGGCUCACCAAGGCGAUGAUACAUAGCCGACCUGAGAGGGUGAUCGGCCACAUUGGGACUGAGACACGGCCCAAACUCCUACGGGAGGCAGCAGUAGGGAAUCUUCGGAAAUGGACGAAAGUCUGACCGAGCAACCCCGCGUGAGUGAAGAAGGUUUUCGGAUCGUAAAACUCUGUUGGUAGAGAAGAACGUUGGUGAGAGUGGAAAGCUCAUCAAGUGACGGUAACUACCCAGAAAGGGACGGCUAACUACGUG
rnacentral:rRNA from 1 species